CCGCCAUAUCACGUUGAAACACCUGUUCUCGUACGACUUCUGAAGUUAAGCAACGUCGCGCCUGUUCAGUAUCUAGAUAGUUAACCGUUUGGGAAUACCAUGUGCU